AGAGUUUGAUCCUGGCCCAGAACGAACGCUGGCGGCACGCUUAAUACAUGCAAGUCGAACGAGAAAGUUCCCUUCGGGGGGCGAGUACAGUGGCGCACGGGUGAGUAACACGUGGGUGACCUAUCCUGUAGCGGGGGAUAACAGUUAGAAAUAGCUGCUAAUACCGCGUAAGCUGAGUAACUUUGAAAGGAACUCAGGAAAGACGGCCUCUACUUGUAAGCUGUCACUAUAGGAAGGGCCUGCGGACCAUUAGCUUGUUGGUAGGGUAAUGGCCUACCAAGGCGACGAUGGUUUGCCGGUCUGAGAGGACGAUCGGCCACACUGGAACUGAGACACGGUCCAGACUCCUACGGGAGGCAGCAGUAGGGAAUAUUGCGCAAUGGGUGAGAACCUGACGCAGCGAUGCCGCGUGAGUGAGGAAGGCCUUCGGGUUGUAAAGCUCUGUCCUAGGGGAAAAAUAUUGUAUUUAAAAAUAUUAGAUAUACUUGAUGGUACCUUAGAAGAAAGCACCGGCCAACUUCGUGCCAGCAGCCGCGGUAAUACGAAGGGUGCAAGCGUUGUUCGGAUUUAUUGGGCGUAAAGGGCGAGUAGGCGGAUUUAUAAGUCAGGUGUGAAAUCUCGGGGCCUAACCCCGAAACUGCGCCUGAAACUAUAGAUCUAGGAUGUCGUAGAGGGUAGGGGAAUUUCGCAUGUAGGAGUAAAAUCCGUAGAGAUGCGAAGGAACACCAGAGGCGAAGGCGCCUACCUGGACGAUGAUCGACGCUGAGGCGCGAAAGCGUGGGGAGCAAACAGGAUUAGAUACCCUGGUAGUCCACGCCGUAAACGAUGAGCACUAGUUAUAGGAGAGUUGAUUCUUCUGUGACGCAGCUAACGCAUUAAGUGCUCCGCCUGGGGAGUACGGUCGCAAGACUAAAACUCAAAGGAAUUGACGGGGGCCCGCACAAGCGGUGGAUUAUGUGGUUUAAUUCGAAACCACGCGAAGAACCUUACCUGGGCCUGAACUCCCACGAAUCCUUUAGAGAUAGAGGAGUGCCCUUCGGGGAAUGUGGUGAGAGGUGCUGCAUGGCUGUCGUCAGCUCGUGUUGUGAAAUGUUGGGUUAAGUCUCGCAACGAGCGGAACCCUUGUCUUUAGUUGCCAGCAUUAAGUUGGGCACUCUAAAGAGACCGCCGGGGUUAACCCGGAGGAAGGUGAGGAUGACGUCAAGUCCUCAUGGCCCUUAUGUCCAGGGCUACACACGUAAUACAAUGGUUGAUACAGAGGGAAGCAAACUCGCGAGAGCUAGCUAAUCUCAAAAAGUCAAUCUCAGUCCGGAUUGGAGUCUGCAACUCGACUCCAUGAAGUUGGAAUCGCUAGUAAUCGCAGAUCAGCAUGCUGCGGUGAAUACGUUCCCGGGCCUUGUACACACCGCCCGUCACACCAUGGGAGUUGAUCCCACCUGAAGUCGUGACCCUAACCAGCAAUGGAAGGGAGCGCCCACGGUGAGGUUGAUGACUGGGGUGAAGUCGAAACAAGGUA
rnacentral:rRNA from 1 species